rnacentral:lncRNA from 1 species
UGAACCAUAAGACUCUUUAACAACAAUAAAGAGAAGAAAGGAUUUUGAGAUUCAUUACCCUUGAAGCUCAGCCUUAUUUACACAAGGGAUUCACCCAAGUGGAGGGCCUUCAAGUCACCUCCUAACUCCUUAUAUCUUCCUUGUGUUUUUCUUCCUUUUGAUACUCCUUUGCACCUUGAGGAUGUGAGGAAAGGAUGUCCAAGAACACCAAAGAUUUAGUGUCUUUAAGUCUGCACACCAAGGAUGAGGUGUGAAAAUGAAUUGGAUGACUUAGAGGAAGAAAGAUUGCUAGCUAUCCUUCCCCUAAGUGGUCGGCCUCUAUGGAGAAAAAAGAGAGAAAAGGUUUCUCUUCUUUUCUUUUCCUCAAGAAAACCGUAGUGAGAGAAUGGCUAUAAAAUUGCCUUUGUACCACCUCACAUGUGAGUGGCAAACUUGCAAUUAACCCAAGUUUGCUACCACUUACCCUUGGCCGGUUUUGAUUUUGUUUUUGGGUUCAUUUCCAUUUAGUUUUAGUUGUCACACAACCUAAACUCAAUAGGCCUUGUGAACCAAAAACCCUUUUGGGCCCCGAAACCUAAAACCAACUUAAAAGCCCAAUACGAACCUUUUGUAAGAUUAAUUAACUAAUUAGUUAAUCAAUUAAUCUUGACCAUUCUCAAUUAAACUAUUUAAUUGCUUAUCCAUCUCAUAUAUAUUUCUUCACUUUCAUCCUUACUCGGUGUACGAUCCAUUAGGUUCCAAUUAGCGAGGUAGUGGGCGAUGGAUGGGCUAAUCCUGUGGGUGAUCUAUCGUGAUUUGAAACUACAUUUCAAUUCUCCCUUUGAUGAAGAUUAGUGUUUGCUAAUCCUUAGGGCUUCCAAAAACCAUGAGUGACAUCUAGCAGUAUGUCAUGGCUAACCAAGUUAAGUAGAAGUGGUUGGAGAACCUAUCCAGUUACAAUUAAAAUGCAAUACGGUCCUUUUCUAAUACAAUACUCUUAAUCACAUUGUUUGAGUGAUAGUUUGUUUCAUGUCUACUAUCCAAUGUCACAUUGUUCGAGUGAUAAUUUGUUUCAUGUCUACUAUCCAAUGUGAUACUUCUUUAUAUGAUUCAAUUGAAUAUGAUUCGGAACAAACUUCCUAAGUCAUAUUCGUAUACUUUGGCCAAAGACUCCCGAAUCAUAUCUCAGAGUAUUCUCCUUCCACCAUGGAAGGUUAGAGAUCCCUUGUUGUGCAUUCAUAUGCCUACAUGACUAGAUAGCUUAACCCCAACAAUGCCGUGGACACUCUCAAUGGAAUUCCUUUAAAAUGAUCAAAGAUCAAGGACCCAACCAUUAGACAUCUAUGAUGCCUCAGUUCAAAGGACUACUUUGCAUAUUGCAACUUAAUAGUUCUUACAAGACAUGUAUGUUUGAACUCUUUUUUUAUCGUUGUUCAGUGUACUCAAUUACUUAAGCACCUAUGUGUUUGUCUUAGUGUCCAACACUAAAUGACUUGAGACUAGGGGUGGGCAAACGAGUAUAGGAACUGCGGGUCGGUUCCUAAUUUUUGAAAAGAGAAACGGGGCAAGCCGGGCUAGGCCUUUGAAACUUUAGGUUCGUGCUGGUUCCAUAAGUGUAGG